ACGACCUUACUUGAACAGGAUCUGUUCUAUAGGAUCGUACCGUUGCAUCCUUGAUUUGAUAAGGAGGCAAGCACUUAAACCUGGUUGAUGAACCAUGACCUGUGGGCCAGAGCGUGAUUAACGGCCAGGAUUUGGCUCUGAUGCCUGUUCCGGUGCUGUAGAGGAUCGUUCCUAGUCUAACCUGGCUGGGGUGGCUCAUGGGUUGUCUGACAGGUU
rnacentral:snoRNA from 1 species